rnacentral:tRNA from 1 species
UUCUAAAUAGUUUAAAAAGAACAAAAUUUUGAAGAAAUUUAGGUAAGGUUGUUACUUUUAGAAA